GCGCCUCUAGCUCAACUGGCAGAGCAUCGGACUCUUAAUCCGCAGGUUCUGGGUUCAAGUCCCAGGGGGCGCACCA
rnacentral:tRNA from 2 species